rnacentral:rRNA from 1 species
UACGUAGGGUGCAAGCGUUGUCCGGAAUUAUUGGGCGUAAAGAGCUCGUAGGCGGUUUGUCGCGUCUGCUGUGGAAACCCGAGGCUCAACCUCGGGCCUGCAGUGGGUACGGGCAGACUAGAGUGCGGUAGGGGAGAUUGGAAUUCCUGGUGUAGCGGUGGAAUGCGCAGAUAUCAGGAGGAACACCGAUGGCGAAGGCAGAUCUCUGGGCCGUAACUGACGCUGAGGAGCGAAAGCGUGGGGAGCAAACAGG